AUACGGAGGGUGCAAGCGUUGUUCGGAAUUACUGGGCGUAAAGCGCGCGUAGGCGGUCUGUUAUGUCAGAUGUGAAAGUCCUCGGCUCAACCGGGGAAGUGCAUUUGAAACUGGCAGACUUGAGUACUGGAGGGGGUGGUGGAAUUCCCGGUGUAGAGGUGAAAUUCGUAGAUAUCGGGAGGAAUACCGGUGGCGAAGGCGACCACCUGGCCAGAUACUGACGCUGAGGUGCGAAAGCGUGGGGAGCAAACAGGAUUAGAAACCCCGGUAGUCC
rnacentral:rRNA from 1 species